UACGGAGGGUGCGAGCGUUGUCCGGAAUCACUGGGCGUAAAGGGCGCGUAGGUGGCCUGUGGAAGUCUGCGGUGAAAGCCCGGCGCUCAACGCCGGGUCGGCCGUGGAUACUCUCGGGCUCGAGCUUACUAGAGGCAGAUGGAAUUCCGGGUGUAGCGGUGGAAUGCGUAGAGAUCCGGAAGAACACCGGUGGCGAAGGCGGUCUGCUGGGGUAAUGCUGACACUGAUGCGCGAAAGCGUGGGGAGCAAACAGG
rnacentral:rRNA from 1 species